rnacentral:rRNA from 1 species
UACGUAGGGUGCAAGCGUUGUCCGGAAUUAUUGGGCGUAAAGAGCUCGUAGGCGGUUCGGCAAGUCGGGUGUGAAAACUCCAGGCUCAACCUGGAGACGCCACCCGAUACUGCUGUGACUUGAGUCCGGUAGGGGACCACGGAAUUCCUGGUGUAGCGGUGAAAUGCGCAGAUAUCAGGAGGAACACCGGUGGCGAAGGCGGUGGUCUGGGCCGGCACUGACGCUGAGGAGCGAAAGCGUGGGGAGCGAACAGG